rnacentral:lncRNA from 1 species
CUUCUUAGGCUUCUUGACAUUUAUCUGACUAGGUGAAGUCUUUCAUAUGUUGGAAAACUUUGAAAAAAGAAAGGCAUCUUUCCAUCGAUCUUGAAAUGAACCGACUAAGAACCACAAUACGUCCGAUCAAGCACUGAACUUUCUUUUUCGAAGUCAGAUGUUUCAUAUCGAGCAUUGCUCAAAUUUUCUCUAUAUUGGCCUUUAUUCCUUUUCUUCUAACUUUAAAGCUGAGAAAUUUAUCCAAGGUCAUGCGA